UGCGCAGGCGGUUAUGUAAGACAGGUGUGAAAUCCCGGGCUUAACCUGGGAACUGCAUUUGUGACUGCAUAGCUAGAGUACGGUAGAGGGGGAGUGGAAUUCCGCGUGUAGCAGUGAAAUGCGUAGAUAUGCGGAGGAACACCGAUGGCGAAGGCAAUCCCCUGGACCUGUACUGACGCUCAUGCACGAAAGCGUGGGGAGCAAACA
rnacentral:rRNA from 1 species